CGGGUGAGUAACGCGUGAGCAACCUGCCUAUGACAGUGGGAUAGCCUCGGGAAACCGGGAUUAAUACCGCAUAAAAUCGUAGAAACACAUGUUUUAGCGGUCAAAGAUUUAUCGGUCAUAGAUGGGCUCGCGUCUGAUUAGCUAGUUGGUGAGAUAACAGCCCACCAAGGCGACGAUCAGUAGCCGGUCUGAGAGGAUGAACGGCCACAUUGGAACUGAGACACGGUCCAA
rnacentral:rRNA from 1 species